CUUCCGAAGCUUGGCUCGGGUCUUGAGUUGUUUCGAUCAGGUUCAAUACAGCAGUAGACUGUUCUUCUUCAACUUCCGGGAUCAACUCGUACAUGACGUCAGCGAGGGACCUUUUUCAACUUGCUGCAAAUCAUCUAAAGAAGUGCAUGUCCAAGUUUGGUUUGUGCUAGAACUCGUUGAGGGCAUCGUUCACCUUGGUUUGACUAUUCACCCGCCCCUCUAGUCGACAUACAAGAUCCUUUCACUAAGUCUUAGCAUUUGCUCGAGAUGAGCAAAGAGCUAGCUUGGGGGACUUGUUGAUGGUUGUUAAGUACAAAAUAUGACUGUCAAUAUGCUCAAGGAUAAAGGAGGUUGGCAUUUCUUACACGCAUAUUUAGUUAAGAAUAAUGUAGUUCCACUUGUCCUUGGAGAAUAUUUGGUUGCAGGUGAAGAAAGCACAAAGUGUGAGGUUGCCACAUAUUCAUCCCAUGGAUUGAAAGGCCCACAAACUACCACAAGUUCCUCAAACCACUGGAUAACGCACACAACCGCCAUUGGGAGCCACCAGGCAGUCACCCGGAGAAAGGCGGUUGCGAGGCGAGCCCACAGGGGGUCGGCCGAACUGGCCGAAUCACCCUUGGCUCCUCUCAUCUCUAGCUCAUGUGUAGCAAUGGUUGACGGGGCCCCUACGUCAGUUAUGGGAUAUUCCCCGAAGAUUCCUUAGCAGAACCGCCUCCAAGCUCCUAUAAAUAUAGAGGCACCCCCUCCAUUCUUACACACACCACAAGUUGAAUCACUCUCUCCCUCUUAGUUUUAAAGUUAGUGGAGUUAGGCUAGAGUAGCUCUACUUCAAGGUUCUUGGUCUUCUUGGAGUCUAGGGUAUGUCUC